CGCAGCCGCCUCUCCCCACGGGCGCGCCCCCGCCGCCACCCAGACGCGCGGGCUCGUACGGCGGCCCCGCCCCAGAGCGAAGACCCAGCCGCCCCCGCACGCCCGCCCGGGCCCGCCCCCGCCCGCUCUGAGUGGCUGGAAGCCGCUUCCGGGGCGUGGCCCUCUCCUAGGGCGCUCGCCGCUCGCUGCGGUGAGGCUGGCUUCUGGUGGACGUCCUACGUCUGGAAGCCCGGCCAAGCCCAGUGGGUCAGACAGUAAACUUCAGAUGGGGCUUGCGGCCUCCGGGUUUGGCGGGGAGGGAAAGCUGAUUCCAAAAGUGCUUCAGCGCUACUGCCGGCCGCGGGCUGGGACUACAAGACCCGCCUGCAGGAGUGCCCGGAGCAGGGUGGGACAGAGGGUAUGUGCCUGCAUGUGCCAGACAAGGUCAAAGUACAGCUUUUGCAGUCAGUCCUGAGCUUCCACCCCGUGAACUGAAUUCAAGUCAUCAGGCUUGGUGGGCUCAUGACACAGCAACGUGCUUUCCCACAUCACGGGGUAUAAGAGAGAAGGAGAGAGAAGCUGUGGUGCUUGCUAUGAUCCACUCCCCAACGUUACACUCGGUUGUCUGCACUUUUUUUGGUUUGGCACAAGUAUCUUCCAGUGUUGUGCCCACCUCGGCCGGCAAGGAAGACACAACACAGUCGGAUUCUUCUCAACAGCCUUUAUUGCAGGAAUGCCUCAAUGCUGCUACAGGGACCUCCGGGCACCCAGGAAGGACUGCUUAUAUGCACCCCAGCACAGUAGAAGGCUCCGUGGCCCCCUGGGAUUGGUCAGUCUGCUGGCACCUAAUUUGCAUGCACCUGCUCAGGAAGGGUUGGCACCAGAUUCGGGCUUACACCUGUGCUGAUGUUGUUUAUGACAACGGCACACCUGGAACCUGGCGCCAUCUUAGAGUUGGCUUACUACAUCUCCCCCUUUUUUGUUUAAUAAUAUGAUGCUGGACUAGGGCUGGGCAAAUCUGUCCAUCGACCACGGCUCCUGUCUUAGGUCGAUCCUCUAGUGUCACAGCCUUACCUAUCACCUCCAG